rnacentral:tRNA from 1 species
AGCAGAGUGGCGCAGUGGAAGCGUGCUGGGCUCAUAACCCAGAGAUCCCUGGAUCGAAACCAUGCCCUACCA